UUUGUUCUACUAUUUUUUUUUCCUCUUAAUUUACUUGUCAUCUCACAAUCAAUAACAUGUUGUUUGUUCAAUAAAAUGCAGCAAUCCAGGACACCGGCCAUCAUUUGAAGACCUAAUCUUGAGAAUGAUAGACUUAAUUCAGACAGUAGUGGCACCCGUUCGGAGGAGCUCAGAGACUUAUAACAAGCUUGUGGUUUGAUUGAUAUCAUUUCUGGAUUGUAAUUCAUCAAAGUGGUGUCAGCUAGACUCUAAAGAAGCUCAAACAUAGCUCUGGUGUAACAUAGUAACUAACACAGUUCCAGUUUUGACACAGUGGCACUGAUGCAAUUCAAGUUUUCCAAAGGGGGAGUUGGCUGUGUCUGACUUCCAAUUGAUAAGUCCUAUUUGUGAUGGGAAAGGUGGCCGUGAUAUCCGUACAGUGGUUCGGGGGCUGAUUCGCAUUUUCACCCCCUUAACGCCCUCUUUUGGUUAAGUUUAAGGCGUUUUCGGCUCUAACUCCCAACCUAAACGUGCUAAUUACAUUUCGUCUAUUGUCAUAGGUCCUAUUUGUGACAGGGAAGGUGGCCGUGACAUCUGUACGGUGGUUCCGGGGCUGUUUUGCUUUUUCGCUCAAUUAACGCCCUUUUUCAGUUAAGCUUAAGGAAUUUUUUGCUCUAACUCCCAACCUACGCGUGCUAAUUACAUUCUGUCUAUUGUCACAGGUCCUAUUUAUGACGGGGAAGGUGGCCGUGAUAUCCGUACGGUGGUUCGGGGGCUGAUUCACAUUUUCACCCCCUUAACGCCCUAUUUCGGUUAAGUUUAAGACAUUUUCGGCUUUAACUCCCAACCUAAACGUGCUAAUUACAUUCUAUCUGUUGUUGCAAGUCUUAUUUGUGAUGGGGAAGGUGGCCGUGACAUCCGUACGGUGGUUCCGGGGUUGUUUUGCUUUUUCGCUCCCUUAACGCCCUUUUUCGGUUAAGCUUAAGGCAUUUUUGGCUCUAACUCCCAACCUACACGUGCUAAUUACAUUCCGUCUAUUAUCAUAGGUCCUAUUUGUCACGGGGAAGGUGGCUGUGACAUUUGUACGGUGGUUCUGGGGCUGUUUCGCUUUUUCGCUCCCAUAACGCCAUUUUUUGGUUAAGUUUAAGGUGUCGAACUCUCAACCUACAUGUGCUAAGUACAUUCCGUCUGUUGUCACAGGUCUUAUUUGUCACAAGAAAGGCGGCCAUGACAUCCAUACGGUGGUUCAGGGCCCCCUUAACUCCCAUUUUCGGUUAACUUUAAGGAGUUUUCAGCUCUAACUCCCAACCUAAACGUGCUAAUUACGUGCCAUCUGCUGUCACAGGUCCCAUUUGCCACGAGAAAGGUGGCCGUGACAUCUGUAUGCUGGUUCGGAAGUUGUUUCGCAUUUUCGCCCCCUUAAUGCCCUUUUUCGGUUAAAUUUAAGGUGUUUUUGGCUCUAACUCCCAACCUAAACGUGCUAAUUACAUUCCGUCUGUUGUCAUAGGUCCUAUUUUUCACGGAAAAGGUGGCCGUGACAUUCGUACAGUGGUUCGGGGGUGGAUUCGCAUUUUUGCCCCCUUAACUCCCCUUUUUGGUUAACUUUAAAGAGUUUUCACCUCUAACUCCAAACCUAAACGUGCUAAUUAAAUGCAGUCUGCUGUCAUAGGUCCUAUUUGCCAUGGAGAAGGUGGCCAUGACAUCUGUAUGCUGGUUCGGAAGCUGUUUUGCAUUUUCGCCCCCUUAACGUCCUUUUUCGGUUAAGUUUAGGAUGUUUUUGGCUCUAACUCCCAACCUAAACGUGCUAAUUACAUUCCUUCUAUUGUCAUAGGUCCUAUUUGCUACGGGGAAGGUGGCCGUGACAUCUGUAUGUUGGUUCGGAAGUUGUUUCGCAUUUUCGCCCUCUUAACGCCCUUUUUCGGUUAAGUUUAAGGCGUUUUUGGCUCUAACUCCCAACCUACACGUGCUAAUUACAUUCCGUCUAUUGUCACAGGUCCUAUUUGUCACGGUGAAGGGGGCCAUGACAUCCGUACGGUGGUUCGGGGGCUGAUUCGCAUUUUUGCCCCCUCAACGCCCUCUUUCGGUUAAGUUUAAGGCGUUUUUGGCUCUAACUCCCAACCAAAACGUACCAAUUACAUUUCGUCUAUUGUCACAGGUCCUAUUUGCCACGAGGAAGGUGGUCGUGACAUCUGUAUGCUGGUUCGGAAGCAGUUUCGCAUUUUCGUCCCCUUAAUGCCCUUUUUCGAUUAAGUUUAAGGGGUUUUCGGCUCUAACUCCCAACCUAAACGUGCUAAUUACAUUCCAUCUACUGUCACAGGUCCUAUUUACCACGGAGAAGGUGGUCGUGACAUUUGUAUGCUGGUUUGGAAGUUGUUUUGCAUUUUCGCCCCCUUAACGCCCUUUUUCGAUUAAGUUUAAGGCGUUUUCUACUCUAACUCCCAACCAACACGUGCUAAUUACAUUCUGUCUAUUGUCAUAUGUCCUAUUUAUCAUAGAGAAGGUGGCUAUGACAUUCAUACGGUGGAUCGGGGGCUGAUUCGCAUUUUCGCCCCCUUAACGCCAUUUUUCGGUUAAGUUUAAGGCGUUUUCGGCUCUAACUCCCAACCUACACGUGCUAAUUACAUAAUGUCUGUUGUCACAGGUCCUAUUUGUGAUGGGGAAGGUGGCCAUGACACCCGUACGGUGGUUCUAGAGCUGUUUCGCUUUUUCGUUUCCUUAACGCCCUUUUUCGGUUAAGCUUAAGGCAUUUUUUGCUCUAACUCCUAACCUACAUGUGCUAAUUACAUUCCUUCUGUUGUCACAGGUCUUAUUUAUCAUGGGAAAGGUGGUCGUGACAUUCGUACAAUGGUUCGGGGGCUGAUUUGCAUUUUCGCCCCCUUAAUGCCCUUUUUCGAUUAAGUUUAAGGCAUUUUUUGCUCUAACUCCCAACCUGCACGUGCUAAUUACAUUCCGUCUAUUGUCACAGGUCCUAUUUGUCACGGGAAAGGUGGCCGUGACAUCCGUACGAUAGUUCUAGGACUAUUUCGCUUUUUCGCUCCCAUAACGUCCUUUUUCGGUUAAGUUUAAGGCGUUUUUGGCUCUAACUCCCAUCCUACACGUGCUAAUUAUAUUCCGUCUAUUGUCACAUGUCCUAUUUGUCACGGGGAAGGUGGUCGUGACAACCAUACAGUGAUUCGGGGACUGAUUCGUAUUUUCGCCCCCUUAACGCCUUUUUUCGAUUAAGUUUAAGGUAUUUUUGGCUUUAACUCCUAACCUACAUAUGCUAAUUAUAUUCUGCCUAUUGUCACAGGUCCUAUUUGUCACGAGGAAGGUGGCCGUGACAUCUGUACGGUGGUUUCGGGGGCUGUUUCACUUUUUCGCUCCCAUAACGCCCUUUUUGGGUUAAGUUUAAGGCGUUUUUGGCUCUAACUCCCAACCUACAUGUGCUAAUUACAUUCUAUCUGUUUUCACAGGUCCUAUUUAUCACGGGGAAGGUGGUCGUGACAUCUGUACGGUGGUUCGGGGGCUGAUUCGCAUUUUCGCCCCCUUAACGCCCUUUUUCGUUUAAGCUUAAGUCAUUUUUGGCUCUAACUCCCAACCUACACGUGCUAAUUACAUUCCAUUUAUUGUCACAGGUCCUAUUUGUCACGGGAAAGGUGGUCGUGACAUCCAUACGGUGGUUCAGGGGCUGAUUCGCAUUUUCGCCCCCUUAACGCCCUUUUUCAGUUCUAUUUAUCACGUGGAAGGUGGCCAUGACAUCCGUACGGUGGUUCCGGACCUGUUUCGCUUUUUCACUCCCUUAACGCCCUUUUCGGUUAGGCUUAAGGCAUUUUCGACUUUAACUCCCAAUCUACAGGUCCGAAUUACAUUCCAUCAAUUGUCACAAGUCCUAUUUGUCAUGGGGAAGCUUUCUGUGAGAGUCACACGGUGGUUCAGGGGUUGUUUUGAAUUUUUGCCCCCGGAAAGCCCUUUUUCGACUAAGUUUAGGGCGUAUUCGGCUCUAACUCCCAACCUAUUGGUCCGAAUUACAUUCCGUCAGUUGGCACAAGUCCUAUUUGUCAUGGGGAAGUUGGCCGUGAGAGCCACAUGAUGGUUCGGGGGCUGUUUUGAAUUUUCUCCCCCGGAAAGCCUUUUUUCGACUAAGUUUAGGGCGUAUUCGGCUCUAACUCCCAACCUAUUGGUCCGAAUUACAUUCCGUCAAUUGUCACAAGUCCUAUUUGUCAUGGAAAAGUUGUUUGUGAGAGCCACAUGAUGGUUCGGGGGCUGUUUUGAAUUUUCUCCUCCAAAAAGCCCUUUUUCGACUAAGUUGAGGGCAUAUUCGGCUGUAACUAUGGUAAAGCCAUAAACAUUCCUAGUGGGCUGAUUGAGUGCCAAAUGAGAAGUUAAUGCAUGUGGAAUCUGAUUCAGAAGUGAGAUUACACCACUUUUCAUGAGUACGAUCGUGAUUACAAAAGUGAGAUUACAUUUAAGCUUCCAUUGUGCAAUGCCAGACAGAAAUUGGAGAGGCAAAUAAGAUUAAAAAUUCAUCCAAGUUUCAAAGAAAGUAAGGGAGUUUUCCAAUUUUCAUUUAUCAAUUAAAUAAUAUUUGAAGGAAAAGAUGAGAAGUAUCAAAGACUAUGAUAGUCUCCCAAUUUUCAUUUGUCAGUCAAAUGAGGGACAAGUGCAUGUGCAAAUUUUGUAUUAUUAGCAGCAAUGACAAUG